AGUGAACGCUGGCGGUAGGCCUAACACAUGCAAGUCGAACGGCAGCACAGUAAGAGCUUGCUCUUACGGGUGGCGAGUGGCGGACGGGUGAGGAAUACAUCGGAAUCUACUUUUUCGUGAGGGAUAACGUAGGGAAACUUACGCUAAUACCGCAUACGACCUACGGGUGAAAGCAGGGGAUCUUCGGACCUUGCGCGAUUGAAUGAGCCGAUGUCGGAUUAGCUAGUUGGCGGGGUAAAGGCCCACCAAGGCGACGAUCCGUAGCUGGUCUGAGAGGAUGAUCAGCCACACUGGAACUGAGACACGGUCCAGACUCCUACGGGAGGCAGCAGUGGGGAAUAUUGGACAAUGGGCGCAAGCCUGAUCCAGCCAUACCGCGUGGGUGAAGAAGGCCUUCGGGUUGUAAAGCCCUUUUGUUGGGAAAGAAAAGCAGCAGGUUAAUACCCCGCUGUUCUGACGGUACCCAAAGAAUAAGCUCCGGCUAACUUCGUG
rnacentral:rRNA from 1 species